GUGCUUGCUUCAACAGCACACUUAGUAAAAUUGGAGGGGUACAGAAGAAAUUUGCAUGGUCCCUUCUUAAGGAUGACACAAAAACUUGUGAAGCAUUUCAUAUUUUU
ensembl:snRNA U6 U6 spliceosomal RNA